rnacentral:misc_RNA from 1 species
GUAGGUGAACCUGCGGAAGGAUCAUUACAAAUCCAACGUCUCACACCGAGACCCCGUUGAACUGUUCCCCAUGGUCAUGGUGCUGUGUGUGGAGGGGGAACUCUCCCACUCGGCGCCUGACCGACCCCUUUAAACAACCUAGUGUGCUUGUUGCAUCAUGUGUAUCUUUGUUAACAACAACAACAACGAGAAACAACUUACAACAAUGGAUCUCUAGGCUCUUGCAUCGAUGAAGAACGCAGCAUCUGAC